rnacentral:misc_RNA from 1 species
GAUGAAGAACGUAGUGAAAUGCGAUAAGUAAUGUGAAUUGCAGAAUUCAGUGAAUCAUCGAAUCUUUGAACGCACAUUGCGCCCGUCAGUAUUCUGGCGGGCAUGCCUGUUCGAGCGUCAUUACGCCCCUCAAGUCCCCUGUGGACUUGGUGUUGGGGAUCGGCGAGGCUGGUUUUCCAGCACAGCCGUCCCUUAAAUUAAUUGGCGGUCUCGCCGUGGCCCUCCUCUGCGCAGUAGUAAAACACUCGCAACAGGAGCCCGGCGCGGUCCACAGCCGUAAAACCCCCCAACUUUUUAUAGUUGACCUCGAAUCAGGUAGGACUACCCGCUGAACUUAAGCAUAUCAAUAAGCGGAGGA